CUCUACCUAAUUAAGCCGCUUUUCCACUAUCGGGCCGAACCGUUCUCUUCGCUUAACCGUUCCGUUCCGUGCCGAUCCGGGCCAGUCAGCACGGAUACGGUUUCAUUUUCCACUAUGGUGCUGAUAACGGAACUCUUUGGAAUGUAAAUACAAAUCCGUUAGUCGUUGCCUUGGUAAUGCUAUUGUAAUAUAAACAGAGAUAUGGACGAUGAUCAGAUAUUUCUGUUUUUGGGACUUCGUUAAAUAACAGAAAAAAAGGACACAACUAUAGACAACGCAAAAAAUAAAAUAAACAGGUGGAGACGGGCACAGAAGGUAAAACCUUUCUAAAAACGAACACAUUUAUUGACGGUAUUAAUGCAUGAGCUAUGAACGCAGCGUAACAGCUGUUUACUUGGCUGUUUGAUCAUACAGCGCGCUUUCCCUUAGCACACACAUUCUAUCAGCACGGUUUGGCACGGUUGUCUAACCGUGCCGAGAAUUCCGGGCCGAGAACGGUUCGUAAUCGUGCCGUGCCUACCAGGCUCAGGUGGAAACACAACUGGAACCGUACCUGACCGUUCUAAGAACCGUUCGGCCCGAUAGUGGAAAAGCGGUUUAACUUUCGCUUUCGAUUUGGUUCCAAACAUAUAGGCUAAUGGCUUCUAGUUCAGGGAUGCCUGACUGAGGUAAUUUAAAUUAAUUGAAGAAGCAGCGUCACUGCAGCAAAACGAUUAACAAUGUCACAGAAAAGGACAUAUCUUUCUGGUGCAGAAAAAAGAAAACGGAAAAAAUCAGAGGAAGAGAAAAAACAGCAAGAUAAAGGAGCACUGUUGAAAGAUUUUGGAGGUGGGGCACAACCAAUGCCAUCUGCCUCAAGUACCAGUGCUACAGCUGAUGAUGAUAUUCCAUGUACAUCCUCUGCAGGUGA